CCUACGGGUAGCUGCAGUCGAGGAUCUUCGGCAAUGGGCGAAAGCCUGACCGAGCGACGCCGCGUGUGCGAUGAAGGCCUUCGGGUUGUAAAGCACUGUCGAGGGAGAGAUCGAUCUCUGGAGGAAGCUCGGGCUAAGUUCGUGCCAGCAGCCGCGGUAAGACGAACCGAGCGAACGUUAUUCGGAAUCACUGGGCUUAAAGGGUGCGUAGGCGGGCUCGUUAGUCAGGGGUGAAAUCCCACGGCCCAACCGUGGAAGUGCCUCUGAUACUGCGGGCCUAGAGGGGGACAGGGGCAUGCGGAACUUCCGGUGGAGCGGUGAAAUGCGUAGAUAUCGGAAGGAACACCGGUGGCGAAAGCGGCGUGCUGGUCCUACUGACGCUGAGGCACGAAAGCCAGGGGAGCAAACGGGAUUAGAUACCCGGGUAGUC
rnacentral:rRNA from 1 species